AACGAACGCUGGCGGCAUGCCUAACACAUGCAAGUCGAACGAGACCUUCGGGUAUAGUGGCGCACGGGUGAGUAACGCGUGGGAACCUGCCCUUAGGUUCGGAAUAACUCCCCGAAAGGGGUGCUAAUACCGGAUAAUGUCUUCGGACCAAAGAUUUAUCGCCUUUGGAUGGGCCCGCGUUGGUUUAGCUAGUUGGUAGGGUAAAAGCCUACCAAGGCGACGAUCCAUAGCUGGUCUGAGAGGAUGAUCAGCCACACUGGGACUGGGACACGGCCCAGACUCCUACGGGAGGCAGCAGUGGGGAAUAUUGGACAAUGGGCGAAAGCCUGAUCCAGCAAUGCCGCGUGAGUGAUGAAGGCCUUAGGGUUGUAAAGCUCUUUUACCCGGGAUGAUAAUGACAGUACCGGGAGAAUAAGCUCCGGCUAACUCCGUG
rnacentral:rRNA from 1 species